AUAAAACAGUCUGCACAGCCUAUCACAGCCAUAACUCAUCUGGGUCAGCUCUGGUUUCUGUAAGGCAUUUGACUUUUUUUGUUUGUUUGUUUGUUUUUGCUUUAAAAAUUUUUUUAUUGGAGUGUACUUUGGCCACCUCAUGCGAAGAGUUGACUGAUUGGAAAAGACUCUGAUGCUGGGAGGGAUUGGGGGCAGGAGGAGAAGGGGAUGACAGAGGAUGAGACGGCUGGAUGGCAUCACCGACUCGAUGGAGUCAUGUAUGGAUGUGAGAAUUGGACCAAAAAGAAAGCUGAGUGCCAGAGAAUUGAUGGCUUUUGAACUGUGGUGUUGGAGAAGACUCUUGAGAGUCCCUUGGACAGCAAGGAGAUCAAACCUAAAGGAAGUCCAUCCUAAAGGAAGCCAGUCCUGAAUAUUCAUUGGAAGGACUGAUGGUGAAGCUGAAGCUCCAAUACUUUGGCCACCUGAUGCGAAGAACUGACUCAUUAGAAAGACCCUGAUGCUGGGAAAGAUUGAAGGUGGGAGGAGAAGGGGAUGACAGAGGAUGAGAUGGUUGGAUGACAUUACCAACUUGAUGGACAUGAGUUUGAGCAAGCUCUGGGAAUUGGUGAUGAACAGGGAAGCCUGGUAUGCUGCAGUCCACGGGGUUGCAAAGAGUCAGACACGACUGAAUGACUGAACUGAACACCUCUUUCACAGAGAUUCACAGCAACCACUGGCAUUUUCCCCCUCAGCUUUAUAGAGGUACAAUUAACAAUUACAAAUUGUACAUAUUUAAGUUUAAAAUGUGGUAUUUUCAUUUAUGUGUAUAUUGUGAAAUGAUUUCCACACUCAAGCUAAUUGACAUAUCCAUCACUUUGCAUCAUCAUCUCUUUCUAUGUGAUGAAGAUCCAAGAUUUCAAGUGUAUAAUAUGGUAAUAUUAACUAUAGUCACCAUGCUAUAUAUUAAUUCUCCACAGCUUACUCAUCCUGAAUAACUGAAGCUUUGUACCUUUGAACAAGAUCUCCACAUUUUCCCCACCCCAACACCUGGCAACCACCAUUCUGCUUCUUGCUUUAGUAAGUUAAAAUUCUAAGGUAGUGGGGUGAAAGGACAUGCGCACAUCUUUUUUUGAGAGAGCACCAAAAUCGCAACUAGCUGCUGAACAAUCAUUGACAGGAGAAUGCUGGAACCCACCAAAAAAAGAUACCCCACAUCCAAAGACAAAGAAGAAGCCACAGUGAGACAGUGGGAGGGGUGAAAUCACAAUAAAAUCAAAUCCAAUACCUGCCAGGUAGGUGACCCACAAAUUGGAGAACAGUAAAACCAAGGAAGUUCUCCUACUGUUAUGAAGGUUCUGAACACUACAUCAGGCUUCCCAUCCUGAGGAGCUGGCAAAGGGACUGGGAAUCCCCACGGCAUCUGACCUUGAAGACCAGCAGGAUUUGAUUAGAGGACUUCCACAGUACUGGGGAAAACAGACUCCAGUCUUGGAGGGCACAGAUAAAAUCUGCACACAUCAAGAAACCCAGAGGAAAGGAGCAGUGACCCCACAGGAGACUGAACCAAAACGACCUGCUAGUGCUGGAGGGUCUCCCGUGGAGGUGCGGGUCUGCAGGGGCUCACCGCAGGGCCAGCAGUAGCUGUCCAGGAAGGUCCCCCUUGGCAUAAGCCCUCUUGAAACUCUCCCAUAGAGCCUGUAGACCCCAGGACUGGGUUGCCUCAGGCCAAACAACUACCAGGGAGGGAGCACAACCCCACCCAUCAGCAGAUAAUUGGAUUAAAGCUUUAUUGAGCAAGACUCUGCCCACCAGAGCAAGACUCAGUUUUUCCCACUGCCAGUCCCUUCUGUCAGGAAGCUUACACAAGGCUCUUAGCCUCCUCCAUCAGAGGGCAGACAGAAAAAGCAAGAAGAACCACAAUACCACAACAGCUAAAAGAAAAACCACGUUAGAGAAAUUUCAUCAGGAUGAAAAAGCAGAAAGUUAUGUCCCAGAUGAAAGGACAAGAUAAAACCCCAGGAAUCAACUAAAUGAACUGGAGUUAGGCAACCUUCCAGAAAAAAAUUCAGAAUAAUAAUAGUUAAGAUGAUCCAGCAGCAGUGAUUUCCACCAUUCUGCCCUCCAGGUCAUUUAUCCAUUCUUCUGCCUCAGUUAUUCUGCUGUUGAUUCCUUCUAGUGUAUUAUUCAUCUGUUUGUUCAUUCUUUAGUUCUUGCAGGUCUUUGGUAAACAUUUCUUAUAUCUUCUCCAUGGAAAACCAUGAGGCAGAAGAAUGGAUAAAUGACCUGGAGGGCAGAAUGGUGGAUAUCACUGCUGCAGAACAGAAUAUAGGAAAAAAGAAUGAAAAGCAAUGAGGACAGGCUAAGAGACCUCUGGGACAACAUUAAGCACACCAACAUUUGAAUUAUAGGUGUCUCAGAAGGAGAAGAGAGAGAGAAAGGACCUGAGAAAACAUUUGAAGAGAUAAUUGCUGUAA
ensembl:lncRNA